rnacentral:lncRNA from 1 species
AGACUGUUCUUCAAAGGUUGUUGGUUGUGGUGUAGGUUUUUAAGUUGGUGUUCAGGGGUUGUGUGCGAGCAGCGGAAUGUGGGUGGUAGAAGUUGUUUUUGUGGCAGUUGUGACGAUGCUUGAGGAUUUUGUUUAUGUUGUUUCGUUGAUCGUGGUGUUAGCUUUGUUUUUGUGUUUCUAUUUAUUGAUUUCGGAGAUAGCCCUUUGUUAGGAGACGUUUCCUAUAGGUUUUUGGAUUUUCUUUAUUUUCACAGGUGUAUGAGUUUUUCAUUGGGGACUUCCCAUCAUCCUUUGUUUGUUGCUACUGUAAGACCUCUAACCUAGCACUCCUUAUGUUGGUUAAGAUUCAUUGCUAUCUUAAUAAAUUCUAUUUUAG